rfam:Schistosoma rodhaini strain Burundi genome assembly, scaffold: SROB_scaffold0011596
GCACAGCUGAGGAGUCCCAUAAUAGGACGAAACGGCCGUCCAGUGC